AGUAAUUUCAGAUCUUUAAAGACGGUCUAAUUCCAAGUUAUUUAAAAAAUGUUCAUGAAAGAAAGCAGUAACCUAUACUAAAAUACUACUAACAGAAUUAAAAUAUAAAAAAGGGAUCUGGUAAUUUAUAUAUGUCUUAUUUCAUCACGCGGUUCCAUUAAAAAUAUCGAUUAUUUGCAGAAAAUUUAAAAAAUAGAUUAUAAGAUUUUAUCUUGGUGAGCAU